rnacentral:rRNA from 2 species
GACAGAGGGUGCAAACGUUGCUCGGAAUUACUGGGCGUAAAGCGCGUGUAGGUGGCCACGCAAGUCAGGUGUGAAAGCCCAGGGCUCAACCCUGGAAGUGCACAUGAUACUACGUGGCUGGAGUACUGAAGAGGAGAGCGGAAUUCCCGGUGUAGAGGUGAAAUUCGUAGAUAUCGGGAGGAACACCAGUGGCGAAGGCGGCUCUCUGGGCAGAUACUGACACUGAGACGCGAAAGCGUGGGUAGCAAACAGG